rnacentral:rRNA from 2 species
GGGUUGUGAGGUUAAGCGACUAAGCGUACACGGUGGAUGCCCUGGCAGUCAGAGGCGAUGAAGGGCGUGCUAAUCUGCGAUAAGCGCCGGUAAGGUGAUAUGAACCGUUAUAACCGGCGAUACCCGAAUGGGGAAACCCAGUGUGAUUCGUCACACUAUCAUUAACUGAAUCCAUAGGUUAAUGAGGCGAACCGGGGGAACUGAAACAUCUAAGUACCCCGAGGAAAAGAAAUCAACCGAGAUUCCCCCAGUAGCGGCGAGCGAACGGGGAGGAGCCCAGAGCCUGAAUCAGCAUGUGUGUUAGUGGAAGCGUCUGGAAAGGCGCGCGAUACAGGGUGACAGCCCCGUACACAAAAGCGCAUGUGCUGUGAGCUCGAUGAGUAGGGCGGGACACGUGGUAUCCUGUCUGAAUAUGGGGGGACCAUCCUCCAAGGCUAAAUACUCCUGACUGACCGAUAGUGAACCAGUACCGUGAGGGAAAGGCGAAAAGAACCCCGGCGAGGGGAGUGAAAAAGAACCUGAAACCGUGUACGUACAAGCAGUGGGAGCACCCUUUGGGUGUGAC